rnacentral:rRNA from 1 species
GAUCCUGGCUCAGAUUGAACGCUGGCGGCAGGCCUAACACAUGCAAGUCGAACGGUAGCUACAGAGAGCUUGCUCUUCGGGUGACGAGUGGCGGACGGGUGAGUAAUGUCUGGGAAACUGCCUGAUGGAGGGGGGAUAACUACUGGAAACGGUAGCUAAUACCGCGUAACGUCGCAAGACCAAAGAGGGGGGACCUCGGCUCUUGCCAUCAAGAGUGUUGGCCCACGAUGGGAGUUAGCU